GACGAACGCUGGCGGCGUGCCUAAUACAUGCAAGUAGAACGCACAGUUUAUACCGUAGCUUGCUACACCAUAGACUGUGAGUUGCGAACGGGUGAGUAACGCGUAGGUAACCUGCCUGGUAGCGGGGGAUAACUAUUGGAAACGAUAGCUAAUACCGCAUAAUAUUAAUUAUUGCAUGAUAAUUGAUUGAAAGAUGCAACUGCAUCACUACCAGAUGGACCUGCGUUGUAUUAGUUAGUAGGUGAGGUAACGGCUCACCUAGGCGACGAUACAUAGCCGACCUGAGAGGGUGAUCGGCCACACUGGGACUGAGACACGGCCCAGACUCCUACGGGAGGCAGCAGUAGGGAAUCUUCGGCAAUGGACGAAAGUCUGACCGAGCAACGCCGCGUGAGUGAAGAAGGUUUUCGGAUCGUAAAGCUCUGUUGUAAGAGAAGAACGGGUGUGAGAGUGGAAAGUUCACACUGUGACGGUAUCUUACCAGAAAGGGACGGCUAACUACGUG
rnacentral:rRNA from 1 species